rnacentral:rRNA from 1 species
GACGAACGCUGGCGGCGUGCCUAAUACAUGCAAGUAGAACGCUGAAGAGAGGAGCUUGCUCUUCUUGGAUGAGUUGCGAACGGGUGAGUAACGCGUAGGUAACCUGCCUUGUAGCGGGGGAUAACUAUUGGAAACGAUAGCUAAUACCGCAUAACAAUGGAUGACCCAUGUCAUUUAUUUGAAAGGGGCAAAUGCUCCACUACAAGAUGGACCUGCGUUGUAUUAGCUAGUAGGUGAGGUAACGGCUCACCUAGGCGACGGUACAUAGCCGACCUGAGAGGGUGAUCGGCCACACUGGGACUGGGACACGGCCCAGACUCCUACGGGAGGCAGCAGUAGGGAAUCUGCGGCAAUGGGGGCAACCCUGACCGAGCAACGCCGCGUGAGUGAAGAAGGUUUUCGGAUCGUAAAGCUCUGUUGUAAGUCAAGAACGAGUGUGAGAGUGGAAAGUUCACACUGUGACGGUAGCUUACCAGAAAGGGACGGCUAACUACGUG